GAUGAACGCUGGCGGCGUGCCUAAUACAUGCAAGUCGAGCGAACGGACGAUAAGCUUGCUUCUCUGAUGUUAGCGGCGGACGGGUGAGUAACACGUGGAUAACCUACCUAUAAGACUGGGAUAACUUCGGGAAACCGUAGCUAAUACCGGAUAAUAUUUUGAACCGCAUGGUUCAAAAGUUCAAGACGGUCUUGCUGUCACUUAUAGAUGGUUCCGCGCUGCAUUAGCUAGUUGGUAAGGUAACGGCUUACCAAGGCAACGAUGCAUAGCCGACCUGAGAGGGUGAUCGGCCACACUGGAACUGAGACACGGUCCAGACUCCUACGGGAGGCAGCAGUAGGGAAUAUUCCGCAAUGGGCGAAAGCCUGACGGAGCAACGCCGCGUGAGUGAAGAAGGUCUUCGGAUCGUAAAACUCUGUUAUUAGGGAAGAACAUAUGUGUAAGUAACUGUGCACAUCUUGACGGUACCUAAUCAGAAAGCCACGGCUAACUACGUG
rnacentral:rRNA from 1 species